UAGGUGUUUUGUACAAGGUUCUGGACCUC
rnacentral:piRNA from 2 species